GCAAUUCGAUUGUAAUGGAUAUUACUGGUCCCCAAAUUCCACCACAAAAUAAUUUUCCUACUAGUAAAUUUGACAUUUUUUCAAACCUUGAUUUUUUAGAUUAAAACUUGGUUGUUACUAAAAGGUUUUCUCCACAUAGUCUUGUACUACGUGGCACAUUUGCAGCGAGGGACAAGGGAUAGCAGCUAGCCUGCAACAACCAAUUGGUUAAUUACCUUCCUCAAUUCCUUUCUAUUAUGAUUAUGAUCACAUUUUGACCCUACCACGACUUCUAAGGGUCUCUGUGCCAUUUUUGACAUGCCCAACAAAGUCCCAGACCAAGAUAUCACUAUCGGGAUCCUGUCCUCUGAAACGUUUCCAUUCUUAUUUAUGGAUUCCUUUGUUCUUGACAGACACAUUACACUGCUAUUUGUUGACUCUGAUUAUGAGUAGUACCACACCAUGUAACAUCUCACAUAUAUUCAUUGAGGUUUAAUAAUCUCUCCUACCCAAAUUAAUGGACAUGCAUGCCUGAAAAAAUACAAUUCAUUUAAUUUGUUUAACACCCUGUCACGUGGUUUCCGUAAGGCUCC
rnacentral:lncRNA from 1 species